rnacentral:tRNA from 2 species
GGGGGUGUAGCUCAGUGGUAGAGUGCAUGUUUAGCAGGCAUGAGACCUCAGGUUCAAUCCCUGGUACCUCCA